rnacentral:rRNA from 1 species
GAAUUAGCCCUGAAAAUGGAUGGCGCUGAAGCGGGCAGCCGACACCACGCCGUCUGGGCGAGUGAUUUUUGCCUCAGAUGAGUAGGAGGACGUGGCGGUCGUAUGGAAGCGUAUGCGCAAGCGUGCGUGGAACGGCCGCCAGUGCAGAUCUUGGUGUUAGUAGCAAAUAUUCAAACGAGAACCUUGAAGGGCGAAGCGGGGAAGGGUUCCACGCGUACAUUGAUUGGGUGUGGGUAAGUCGUUCCUAAGCCGCGUGGCAAUAGCUAAUACAAAUGGCGAAAGGGAAGCAGGUUGACAUUCCUGCACACGGAUGUGGAGGCGGUGACGCACUUUCUGGGGUAAUGAAGCUGGCUGUGGCACUGGGCAGAGUUGUCUUUUCUGUUUAACCGCUCUCUCACUGUGUGGAAUCCGCUUGUCGGGAGAAACACGUGUUGACGGGCAUAGCGCCGGAGCUUUCCCGGCGUCCAGUUCGCUACGGACGGACCUUGAAAAAUUACCUGCUGGCACAGUCGGUUUUGAAAUUUUUUUUUUAGAACGCAGAUCUGUGUAUGAAAAAUCCACGCCGUAACGUACCGAUAACCGCAUCAGGUCCCCAAGGUGAACAGCCUCUGCUCGAUAUGAUCAAUGCAGGUAAGGGAAGUCGGCAAAAUAGACCCGUAACUUUGGGAAAAGGGUUGGCUCUAGUGCUGUGUGGGACUGGUUGUUGAGGUGUCCGAGCUGCUCCUGUUGACUCUGCUGCGGAGCUGGCAAAGCUGGAGGAUUUGAAAAAGUUUUUCGGUGGCGCUCGCACUGAAGCAGGGCCUGACGGUCGAACGGUCUUGGCCCGCGACGACGCCCACGGCAUGCAGCAAACUAGAACUGCAACGGGCAAAGGGAAUCCGA